UUACAGCCAUAUCAUGUUGAAACACUGUGUCCAGUAUGAUCACAGAAGUUAAGCAAGAAGUUAAGUUCAGUACCAAGAUGGGUGACCGCUUGGGAAUAUCAGGUGCUGUA